GACGAACGCUGGCGGCGUGCUUAACACAUGCAAGUCGAACGAUGAAGAAAAGAAUCGAAGCUUCGGCAGAAAUUCAUUUCGGAUUAGUGGCAGACGGGUGAGUAACUCGUGAGCAACCUACCUCUUACAAAGGGAUAGCCUCGGGAAACCGGGAUUAAUACCAUAUAACAUUGCGACGAAGCAUUACGAUGCAAUCAAAGCUACGGCGGUAAGAGAUGGGCUCGCGUCCCAUUAACCGGAUGGUGAGGUAACGGCUCACCAUAGUGACGAUGGGUAACCGGCCUGAGAGGGUGAACGGUCACACUGGAACUGAGACACGGUCCAGACUCCUACGGGAGGCAGCAGUGGGGAAUAUUGCACAAUGGAGGGAACUCUGAUGCAGCGACGCCGCGUGAGUGAUGAAGGAAUUCGUUUCGUAAAACUCUGUUCUAUGGGAAGAAAAGGACUGUACCAUAGGAGAAAGCUCCGGCUAAAUACGUG
rnacentral:rRNA from 1 species